rnacentral:rRNA from 1 species
UACGGAGGGUGCGAGCGUUGUCCGGAAUCACUGGGCGUAAAGGGUGCGUAGGCGGGUCUUUAAGUCAGGGGUGAAAUCCUGGAGCUCAACUCCAGAACUGCCUUUGAUACUGAGGAUCUUGAGUAUGGGAGAGGUGAGUGGAACUGCGAGUGUAGAGGUGAAAAUUCGUAGAUAUUCGCAAGAACACCAGUGGCGAAGGCGGCUCACUGGCCCAUUACUGACGCUGAGGCACGAAAGCGUGGGGAGCAA